GGCAAUAUCACAUUGUAACACCGUUUCAUGUACGAUCACCAAAGUUAAGUAAUGUCGAGCCUGGUCAAUACAGAGAUGGGUGACCGCUUGGGAAUACCAGGGGCUGUAG